rnacentral:lncRNA from 12 species
GCCGUGUUUGCUCUCUGGCAUCCAGCUGACAGCUCCAGCCAGGGCUGAGCCAGCCCUGGAGGCUGCGAGUCCCCCUGGCCCCAGCUGGGCUGUUUGCUGUCUGCUGGCCACUGAGCUGGGGAGAAAAGCAGCAUUUUCCUCCCUGCUUUGAAUUUCUCCGCUCUGCCAGACUUUUUGUCUUGCUUGGGAAGCAGCAGAGCCACGAGAAGAGGGACAAGGGAGCAGGGGACGGAAGAGGAGGAGGAGGAGGAGGAGAGCAUCAGAGGAAGGCAGGGGCCCCACGAUAUCCUGGCAGGGAAAGGCAGCCUGGAGUGAGCCUUGCUGGUGAGUGGUGCCUGGUGGGAAUGUGCCGUGGGCUGUCACAGCAUUUCCAAUGGGAGUCCGAAGCUUUGUGGGGACAGUGAGGGGACAAUGAGGGGACAAUGAGGGGACAAUGAGGGGACAGUGGGUGCUCUGGUGGCCACGUGGCAGCAAGCAGAGAGGUGAUCCCCAGGGCAGACCCUAGUCAUGGCCUGUGGUUUGUGUAGGGGGGGUCUGUGUUGGCCCCACUGCACUCCUUACGUGCACCCAAAAUCUUGUUCCAGGAGCAAAUCCUGCGCUGGGUCCUCAGCCAGGACCUGCAGGGCUUG